rnacentral:sRNA from 1 species
UUAAUGAUAAAAUUGGUUAUGAUGAAAUUAUCGCACC